rnacentral:rRNA from 1 species
GACGAACGCUGGCGGCGUGCUUAACACCUGCAAGUCGACCGCAGUGGCGAACGGGUGAGUAACGCGUAAUCAACCUGCCCUUCAGAGGGGGACAACCGUUGGAAACGACUGCUAAUACCGCAUACUGAAGGAGGGGAUUGCGUGUGAUUAGCUAGUUGUAGGGGUAAAGGCCCACCAAGGCGAGGAUCAGUAGCAGUGCUGAGAGGAGGAACUGCAACAUUGGGAGUGAGACCCGGCCCAGACUUCUACGGGAGGCAGCAGUGGGGAAUCUUCCGCAAUGGACGAAAGUCUGACGGAGCAACGCCGCGGGAGUGAGGACGGCCUUCGGGUUGUAAAGCUCUGUUAAUCGGGACGCGGUACCGGAAUAGAAAGCCACGGCUAACUACGUGCCAGCAGCCGCGGUAAUAC